GACGAACGCUGGCGGCGUGCUUAACACAUGCAAGUCGAACGAAGUGGCGAACGGGUGAGUAACGCGUAAUCAACCUGCCCUUCAGAGGGGGACAACAGUGGGAAACGACUGCUAAUACCCCUAACUGAAGGAGGGGAUUGCGGCUGAUUAGCUCGUUGGAGGGGUAACGGCCCACCAAGGCGAUGAUCAGAAGCCGGUCUGGGGGGGUGGACGGCCACAUUGGGACUUGGCCCCGGCCCAGACUCCUACGGGGGGCAGCAGGUGGGGAUCUUCCGCAAUGGACGAAAGUCUUACGGAGCAACGCCGCGUGAGUGAUUACGGCCUUCGGGUUGUAAAGCUCUGUUAAUCGGGACGCGGUACCGGAAUAGAAAGCCACGGCUAACUACGUGCCAGCAGCCGCGGUAAUUC
rnacentral:rRNA from 1 species